rnacentral:lncRNA from 1 species
CAUCAAGGCUCAUCCUUAAGUCCUUACCUUUUUGCGUUGGUAAUGGAUGAGUUAACAUGACAUAUUCAAGAUGAUAUUCCUUGGUGUAUGCUUUUCGCAGACGAUAUAGUGUUGAUAGAUGAAACUCAGGAAGGGGUAAAUGCGAAGCUUAACCUUUGGAGAGAAGUGUUGGAAUCUAAAGGUCUUCGCCUAAGCCGAUCAAAGACAGAAUAUAUGGAGUGCAAGUUCAGUGCAAAUGGAUGCCAAAAUGAGUUAGGGGUGAGGAUCGGAGAUCAGGAAAUACCAAAGAGCCACCGUUUUCGUUACCUAGGAUCUAUCUUGUAAAAUAACGGAGAAUUAGAUGGAGAUCUCAACCAUAAAAUACAAGCUGGAUGGAUGAAGUGGAAGAGUGCAUCCGGCGUGUUGUGUGAUCGUCGUAUGCCACUGAAGCUUAAGGAAAAAUUUUAUAGGACGGCAAUAAGGCCGGCGAUGCUGUAUGGCACAGAAUGUUAGGCGGUGAAGCAUCAACACGUACACAAAAUGGGUGUAGCGGAGAUGAUGAUGUUUCGUUGGAUGUGUGGGCACACGAGAAAGGAUAAGAUUAGGAAUGAGGAUAUCCGAGGUAAAGUAGGAGUAGCCGAAAUUGAAGGAAAACUGAGAGAAAAUAGGUUACGGUGGUUUGGACAUGUGCAAAGAAGGCCUACUGACGCUCCGGUUAGAAGAUGCGACUAUGGGAUAGAGGUUCAGGGCCGAAGGGGUAGAGGAAGACCUAGGAAAACUUUGGAAGAGACUCUAAGAAAAGACUUAGAGUACUUGGAUCUAACGGAGGACAUGACACAGGAUCGAGCACAAUGGCGUUCUAAGAUUCAUAUAGCCGACCCGACUCAGUGACUUGGAUUUUUCAAGUCUCCAAUCGAGAAGUUUUCCCCACUCGGGAAAUUAAGGGAACACUACCUCAACCUACAUGCUCCACUCACAAAACUUCAACAUACAAGCUUCAACAAAAAAAAAAUUCAAAGAACUUAGUGAAGAAGGCUUUGGUGUAUUUAACACAAUAUGUUGAAAUGAAACAAAGCUUAUUUAUUGAUAUCUCUAAGAAGUUACAAAUAUGUACAUAUACACGAGUCAAAAUAAACAAACAAGAGGGAGCCUUCACAAAGGUUGCUUAGGAGAAGUCUCAGCAGUCGGCAGAGCCCCAGAAAGAGAAGGCACAGGAAGGGGAUCAUUCGGAGCCUCAGUACUGAACAGCACCCUAGAAGGAGGAGGCAUCGGAGGUUGAUCAUUUGGAGCUUCAUUACGCGGUACAGCCCGAGAAGACGAAGGCAAUAAAUGCCUUUGGAACAAACCCACAAACCUCUGAUGAUCAUGUAAAAUCUGACCAUCAGAUUCCUUCAUCUGGUCAAGCUUCCUCUUCAUGUUUGUAGCAUAGUCAUGUGCGAGCCGGUGCAACUGUUUAUUCUCAUGUUUGAGCCCUCUAAUCUCCUGUUUGAGACUCAUCACUUCAGCCGCCAAUGAUUCAACUUGGUGGGUUCGAGCAAAUAGGUGUUGGGCCAUAUUAGACACAAAACCUGCACAUUGAACACUAAGAGCCAGAGAAUCCUUAACAACCAACUCAUCAGACCAUUUGGAAAGUAGUCUGUUAUCUUUGGGAGUGAGAAGGUUCCUGGCCACCACCGCAGCGGUCAUAUCAUUCUUCAUCACGGAAUCCCCAACGGUAAGAGUACCAGUAGGGGAUAAGAAGGAUGGCGCCAUAUGUUGUCUGAAGAAGGCGUGGCUGCCUCUUUAACAAGGUUCAAGUCAAAACGACGGUCGGAGGGGCCAGACAUUUUCAAAGGUGUUGAAGAGAAAAGAGGUCGGACAAAUCAAGAUCUUAGAAAUGCAAGAAGGGAGCUUCUACUGGUGGAGAUUCAAGUGUGCUUUGGAACUUAAUACCAGCCUCUAUAAAAAUCUGCACUCGAUGGAGCUUCAGAAAUCAAAGAGGCGCCUGCUCAGAAAUCGAAAAGGUGUUUGCUUUCUCAAAAGCUGAGCUGCUCAGAGACCACGAGGGCCGAUCUCAGGAAUCGAAGAGGCGUUUGCUUUCUCAAAAGCUGGGCUACUCAAAGACCACGAAGGUCAAUCGCAGAAAUCGAAGAGGCGCUUGCUUUCUCAAAAGAUGGGAUGCUCAGAGACCACGAGGGCCGAUCUUAGAAAUCGAAGAGGCACCUGCUUUUUCAGCCUUAUCAGCACCUGUCACAUGCACACUCAACUUUACGGAAAUUAAGGGCAUUCUGUCGAAGAUUUCUGGUGAAGUAGAAAGCACGUGAAUGUUACUGUUCAAUCAUCCACUUUCCACACGCAACAUCAGCUCACGGGUACCACAGAUAACUUUGCCAAAAAUCUCUAAUAAAGUUUAGACACGUGAAGCUUGCAGCUCCCAUUACAUCGCUAUGACCAAGAAGGGUAAAAGAAUAGCAAAGAAACAGCACAAACAAAGUUUAGACACAUAAAUUUUGAAGGUCUAGCUACCAUAUUAUUACCCACAAAGGUAAAGGAACAGGACCACUGCUUGAUAAUUGGAAAGUCCUUGUGUGUCAACCCUUGUGCUCCGUGGUAAGGUAGACUAGCAAACAGGCCUAACCUUUACUCACAUUCGAGAAAACACUCCCAACAAGAUUGCUUGCUUCAAGAUCGAAGAGGCAUCGUCCUCCGAAUCUCGAGAGCCAGACUCCCAACAUGAUUACUUUCUCAAAAAGCGACGAGACACCACUCUCCGAAUCUCGAGAACCAGACUCCUAGCAGGAUUGCUUUCUCAAAUCGAAGAAGCACCGUUCUCCAAAUCUCGAAAGACAGAUCCCCGACAGGAUUGCUUGUUUGAAAACCGAAGAGGCACCGCUUUCUCAACUUCGAGAGCCCCUUAGAUAAAGCUUGUCUGUAAUUCUCACACCGCUUUCUCAACUUCGAGAGCCAGAUCUCCUUGGAUAAAGCAUGUCUGUAAUCUUCACACGUAACAUCAGCUUUCCAGAUACCACAGACCACUUUUCAAAGUGCUCUGACAGAGUUAAAACACGUGAAGCUGGCAGCUCCCACUACCGUGCGAUGACCAAGUAGGGUAAAAGAAUAGUAUUACUCCUUCUUGUUAGGGAGACUCCUAUAUAUGUCGACCUCCAUCCUCAACGGACAGGCAGACCUGCAAAAAUGCUCAACCCUUCCUCAUAUCUGAGAGGGCACUCCCAACGAAGCCUCUCGAAAUACUCAGCUUUCUUUCCCCCCGAGAAUACCUCUGCAAACAAGCUACACCAGAGCAAGAAUAUCUCAUAUCAUCAGGGUUAAAAGCAAGAGUAUCCCAUAUCAUGCUUUUUCCCUGUCUUUUCCUUUGGCCUUGUUCUUACCUGCAAGAUAAGGAGAAAGAAAGCAAUCAGUCAGCACUUGGAAUCAAGCUUCCAGUUCGGAACUGACUGCCUGGAACCCCAUUGCUCUCAAGUACUCAUCUUCAACAUCUUAUGCUUCCCGAGAAGAUACCACAUCUGCCUGAGGAACAAAUAGGGCAAGUGAGAAGGAUACAAGGAAGCAUGUGGAGACAAGCGCAACAGAACACGUGCCGAUACAUCCACUACUUUGUCAACAGCAAAAGUAUCCCAUAUCAGCAGGGUCGAACGUACUCUAGAUUUGAUGGACUUGUUUUGACCCUCAAAUUCUUCAGUCGGCCUUAUACUCUGGCGGAAACAAAAACCCUCCAGCCCAGUUCAAGAAUAAGCCUGUGGAAAGUUACUUCUUCAAAAGCAAAAGUAUCUCAUAUCACAUUUUCUCCUUUUCUUCUCUUUAUCCUUCAUGCUACCUGCAAGAUAAGGAGAAGGAUAACAAUCAGCCGGAACUCGAAAUCACACUUCUGAUCUGGGACUGAUUGCUUGGAGCUUUGAUUGCUUACCUUGUCUGUCACCUCUUUCAGCAGAUCCCCUAGCUCGACGACUUGGGGGACUCCUACUACAUGGUUUGUAUCGCGCUUGACCAAGCCUGAAACUACAAGUAAGCGUCAAGUGAAAUUGAUACAUUACCUUGUGCAUCUCCACCAAUUAAAGAUACCACCCCUGGAGGGAGGAAGAGUACUUCCAAAGAAGAUGCCACAUCUACCUAUGAGACAGAUAAGGCAAGUGAAGAUGAUACCACACUUCGGUACUUAAAAGUUUCGUGAUUACGAGAUCAUUUUUCCACAAUAUUUCCUAAUGUCAUUUGUACUAAAUCAUUCAUUUGUACUCACUAAAGGAGAGCUUGAACCUAUAUACUGUGUAAACCCUUCACAAUUAAUGAGAACUCCAUUACUCCGUGGACGUAGCCAAUCUGGGUGAACCACGUACAUCUUGUGUUUGCUUCCUGUCUCUAUCCAUUUACAUACUUAUCCACACUAAUGACCGGAGCAAUCUAGCGAAGAUCACAAACUUAAUAUUUAAGAUGACAUUCUUUGGUGUAUGCCUUUCGCAAACGAUAUAGUGUUGAUAGAUGAAACGCAGGAAGGGGUAAACGCGAAGCUUAACCUUUGGAGAGAAGUGUUGGAAUCUAAAGGUCUUCGCCUAAGCCGAUCAAAGACAGAAUAUAUGGAGGGCAAGUUCAGUGCAAACGGAGGCCAAAAUGAGUUAGGGGUGAGGAUCGGAGAUCAGGAAAUACCAAAGAGCCACCGUUUUCGCUACCUAGGAUCUAUCUUGCAACAGAACGAAGAAUUUGAUGGAGAUCUCACCCAUAGAAUACAAGCUGGAUGGAUGAAGUGGAAGAGUGCAUCCGGCGUGUUG